rnacentral:rRNA from 1 species
AUGAACGCUAGCGGCAGGCCUAACACAUGCAAGUCGAGGGGCAGCACGGUGUAGCAAUACACUGGUGGCGACCGGCGCACGGGUGCGUAACGCGUAUGCAACCUACCCAUAACAGGGGGAUAACACUGAGAAAUUGGUACUAAUACCCCAUAACAUCAGGACCGGCAUCGGUUCUGGUUGAAAACUCCGGUGGUUAUGGAUGGGCAUGCGUUGUAUUAGCUGGUUGGUGAGGUAACGGCUCACCAAGGCAACGAUACAUAGGGGGACUGAGAGGUUAACCCCCCACAUUGGUACUGAGACACGGACCAAACUCCUACGGGAGGCAGCAGUGAGGAAUAUUGGUCAAUGGACGCAAGUCUGAACCAGCCAUGCCGCGUGCAGGAAGACGGCUCUAUGAGUUGUAAACUGCUUUUGUACGAGGGUAAACGCUCUUACGUGUAAGAGCCUGAAAGUAUCGUACGAAUAAGGAUCGGCUAACUCCGUGCCAGCAGCCGCGGUAAUACGGAGGAUCCAAGCGUUAUCCGGAUUUAUUGGGUUUAAAGGGUGCGUAGGCGGUUUGAUAAGUUAGAGGUGAAAUACCGGUGCUUAACACCGGAACUGCCUCUAAUACUGUUGGACUAGAGAGUAGUUGCGGUAGGCGGAAUGUAUGGUGUAGCGGUGAAAUGCUUAGAGAUCAUACAGAACACCGAUUGCGAAGGCAGCUUACCAAACUAUAUCUGACGUUGAGGCACGAAAGCGUGGGGAGCAAACAGGAUUAGAUACCCUGGUAGUCCACGCAGUAAACGAUGAUAACUCGCUGUCGGCGAUACACGGUCGGCGGCUAAGCGAAAGCGAUAAGUUAUCCACCUGGGGAGUACGUUCGCAAGAAUGAAACUCAAAGGAAUUGACGGGGGCCCGCACAAGCGGUGGAGCAUGUGGUUUAAUUCGAAGCAACGCGAAGAACCUUACCAGGUCUUGACAUCGAUCUAAAGGCUCCAGAGAUGGAGAGAUAGCUAUAGAGAAGACAGGUGGUGCAUGGUUGUCGUCAGCUCGUGCCGUGAGGUGUCGGGUUAAGUCCCAUAACGAGCGCAACCCCUACCGUUAGUUGCCAUCAGGUCAAGCUGGGCACUCUGGCGGGACUGCCGGUGUAAGCCGAGAGGAAGGUGGGGAUGACGUCAAAUCAGCACGGCCCUUACGUCCGGGGCUACACACGUGUUACAAUGGUAGGUACAGAGGGCAGCUACCCAGUGAUGGGAUGCGAAUCUCGAAAGCCUAUCUCAGUUCGGAUCGGAGGCUGAAACCCGCCUCCGUGAAGUUGGAUUCGCUAGUAAUCGCGCAUCAGCCAUGGCGCGGUGAAUACGUUCCCGGGCCUUGUACACACCGCCCGUCAAGCCAUGGAAGCUGGGGGUGCCUGAAGUUCGUGACCGCAAGGAGCGACCUAGGGCAAAACCGGUGACUGGGGCU